GGGAAAACCAUUGACUCACAAUACAUACAAUUUAAAAAAUAUAGAAACAACGUGAACGUUCAGAAGCUAUUCUACGUGAAAAACUGAAUUCAAUGUCAAAGUAACUCUCUUCGUCUUUUAUAACAACGGCUUCUGUGUAAAUGGAAGAGAAUAUAGAAUUAAAAGAACAGAUGCGAAUUCCAAUAAAGAGCAUUAUCAAGGGCUGCAAUGUUUGAUCAAUGAUGAAGAAGACUAACAUACAAAUUUAUAAAGUUAGUUCCCAUCGAUGAAAUAAGCAGCGAAGGUAAAACCUGUAUAGAGCGAAGAAAAGUUAAAUGGCGGUUUCUUUGUUUUUCAUGUGACUCUUAGAGUAUUAGAUUUAUUUUGAAUUAAAUAACAUUUUUUUUAAACACAACAUAUUUUUACUACCCUAAAUUAUGUGUAAAGAAAUUUUAAAAAUCAUAAAGUAGAUAAUUAUAAAUUAUGUUUGAUGAGACCAAAGUUCUUUUUUGGGUAAAUCGAAAUUUUUUGGCUCAAUCUAUGU